CUGACUGCCACUAAGGAAGGAUCUCUCUCUGGAGGUUGCUCCUUUGUGGAGUUUUACUGUGAGCCUUCAACACUGGGUGCUACACUACACUGGGCAUCUCCAGCAGGGCUGGAAAUGGAAGAGACCCUGCAGAGAUGCUGGUGUAACUGCAGAACUUCUUUGCAAUGCCAGAAGGUGCUUGGGGCAGUUGCUGAAGUGUCAUCAAUCAAUGUCAAAUGAAAGCCAUCUGAAGAUGGCUAAAUCUGAUUGCCUGUAACCAAUGUAAUUAGACAAGCAAGGUGAAUUCCCAUCUAACCUACUGCUCAGACAAAAACUCUCCUCCAACCCAGAGACUGCAAUCACAGCGAAGAUCCACCUGAAGAGCACUAAAAAAGGAUAAUAGCUGAAAUUUCUUCCUGCUCAGUAUGCACGAUCAAGCAGAUUUCAAGGGUGAUGGGGCAAGGAGAAGGUCUUUGUCUCGCUCAUUAAUCACCACGGUGUGAGCAGCGCGUGUCCCAGAAUAGCAUUGCAGCACCUGUAGCAACGUGGCGCCCAUGGCAUCGCAUCACCUGCAGCACUUACAGCACCUACAGCACUGCAGCACACUCAGUAUUGCAAUGUUGUGGCUUGGAGCACAGAGCCAGGCUGGCAGCAGGAGAAGGGCAGCUGUGAGCACAGUGCUCUGAUAGGAACAAAUUGCACCUGCUGGGCUCCGGGCCAGCACAGACAGACAUGCCUGCAAGGAAGCAGGAGAAGGAAGGUGAGUUGCUGCAAACCUCCUACUGAUAAAAGAGCAGAACAGGCUCCUGGCCGGGUGCUGCUGGUGGCACAUGCUGUCAGGUCCCACCUGGGAAGCUUAGUGCUGGGAUGCUGAGCUUGCAGCAGCAAUGACAGCAAGAGGUUGUGCUGUCUGCUCUUCUUGGGCUCAGAACCAAGGCUUAGACUUCAAGGAUUCCCUGUGCUUUGUGCAAGGGCAGCUGAGGCCUCAUGGAUCAAAGGUAUUGGAAUGGGAAGUGGAACGGAGGCAAGCACACCCCCUGCCUUGCUGUCUCUGGUGCCUUUGGGAUGCAAAAGGUGAGCCCUGAGAUGCUGCUGUGGUGGGUGGGUUCUGCUGGCUGCAGCCCAGUGCUGCCAUCCCUGCUUGAUCCCCGUGUGGGAGGCACGGUGUCCCGUAUCAAAGCGGCCGUGUUGCCUCUCUAAUAACACGGCGCCGAUUUCCCCAGGCUGACAAAAGUAGGCCAUGUUUCUAUAUUCCCUGUCACUGCUUAUCUGUCGCCU